UACGGAGGGUGCAAGCGUUGCUCGGAAUUAUUGGGCGUAAAGGGCAGGUAGGUGGUCUUAUUUGUCUGGGGUGAAAGCCUUGAGCUUAACUCAAGAAGUGCCCCAGAAACGGUGAGACUAGAGUCCUAGAGAGGGUCGUGGAAUUCCCGGUGUAGCGGUGAAAUGCGUAGAGAUCGGGAGGAACACCAGAGGCGAAGGCGGCGACCUGGAUAGGUACUGACACUCAACUGCGAAAGCGUGGGGAGCAAACAGG
rnacentral:rRNA from 1 species